CCUACGGGAGGCAGCAGUGGGGAAUAUUGGGCAAUGGGGGAAACCCUGACCCAGCGACGCCGCGUGGAGGAAGAAGUCCCUCGGGAUGUAAACUCCUGUUGUGUGGGAAGAAGCGAGUGACGGUACCACACGAGGAAGCCCCGGCAAACUACGUGCCAGCAGCCGCGGUAAU
rnacentral:rRNA from 1 species